rnacentral:rRNA from 1 species
UUCGUUUGACCGUUUAGCUGCAGAAGAAGCACCGGCUAACUCCGUGCCAGCAGCCGCGGUAAUACGGAGGGUGCGAGCGUUAAUCGGAAUUACUGGGCGUAAAGCGCAUGCAGGUGGUUUGUUAAGUCAGAUGUGAAAGCCCGGGGCUCAACCUCGGAAUAGCAUUUGAAACUGGCAGACUAGAGUACUGUAGAGGGGGGUAGGAAUUUCAGGUGUAGCGGUGAAAUGCGUAGAGAUCUGAAGGAAUACCGGUGGCGAAGGCGGCCCCCUGGACAGAUACUGACACUCAGACUGCGAAAGCGUGGGGAGCAAACAGGAUUAGAUACCCUGGUAG